rnacentral:rRNA from 1 species
UACAGAGGGUGCGAGCGUUAAUCGGAAUUACUGGGCGUAAAGCGCGCGUAGGCGGCUUUGCAAGUCGGGUGUGAAAGCCCCGGGCUCAACCUGGGAAUUGCAUUCGAGACUGCAUUGCUGGAGUACGGAAGAGGAGGGCGGAAUUCCCGGUGUAGCGGUGAAAUGCGUAGAUAUCGGGAGGAACAUCAGUGGCGAAGGCGGCCCUCUGGUCCAGUACUGACACUCAAGUGCGAAAGCGUGGGGAGCAAACAGG